UACGGAGGGUGCAAGCGUUAUCCGGAUUCACUGGGUUUAAAGGGAGCGCAGGCGGAUAUGUAAGUCAGUGGUGAAAGCCUCAAGCUCAACUUGGGAACUGCCAUUGAUACUAUAUAUCUUGAAUAUUGUUGAGGUAUGCGGAAUGGGUCAUGUAGCGGUGAAAUGCAUAGAUAUGACCCGGAACACCAAUUGCGAAGGCAGCAUGCUAAACAAAGAUUGACGCUGAGGCUCGAAAGCGUGGGGAUCAAACAGG
rnacentral:rRNA from 1 species